GCUGGCGUAGCUCAGCUGGUAGAGCGGCUGACUUGUAAUCAGCAGGUCGUGGGUUCGAAUCCCUCCGCCAGCUCCA
rnacentral:tRNA from 1 species